GUCCGGAGACGUCGGCGGGGGCCUC
rnacentral:ncRNA from 2 species